GGCCCGGCGGCCGCGGGCUGUCAGGGUCCCCGGGGGGCCGCCCGCCCUCAGAUGAGCGGGAGGGGGCGCCUGGUGGGCCUGGCCUUCUGCACCUGCUACCUGGCGGCCCACCUCACCAACAAGUACGUCCUGUCGGUCUUGAAAUUUACCUGCCCUACAUUGUUCCAAGGGUGGCAGACGUUAGUUGGUGGACUUUUGCUUCAUGUGUCGUGGAAACUGGGCUGGGUGGAGAUCAACAGCAGUUCAAGCCUGCAGGAGGCUUUUUCCACGUCCAGCUCACCUGUGUCCUGCGGUGGGACCACUGCCACUAGAUCUGAUGUUUUGGCAUGGCUUCCUGCUUCGGUGCUGUUUGUGGGCAUAAUCUAUGCCGGUUCCAGAGCAUUAUCCAGACUGGCCAUUCCUGUGUUUCUCACUUUGCACAAUGCAGCUGAAGUUAUUGUCUGUGGGCACCGGAUGUGUUUUCGGAAAGAGAAAACGCCUCCUGCCAAGAUCUGUAGCGCCCUCCUGCUCCUGGCCGCUGCGGGGAGCCUCCCCUUCAAUGACGCCCAGUUCGAUCCAGAUGGGUACUUCUGGGCUGUAAUUCACUUACUCGGUGUAGGGGCCUAUAAGAUUCUCCAGAAGUCCCUGAAACCCAGUGCGUUGAGUGACAUCGACCAGCAGUACCUAAACUAUAUAUUCAGCGUGGCGCUCCUGGCAGCCGCAGCGCACCCCACAGGUGACCUCCUCCGCGCCCUGGACUUCCCCUUCUUGUAUGUCUACAGAUUCCACGGCAGCUGCUGCGCCAGUGGCCUUUUGGGGUUCCUCGUCACACUCAGCGCCGUGAAGCUGAAGAGCCUGGUGGCCCCCGGGCAGUGUGCAGCCUGGCUGCUCCUGGCUCAGAGGCGGCAGAGGAAGGCAGUGGGCCCAGACCAGGCACUGGAUGAAGACGGAAAAGGGUGACUUACGGGGCUGCCUGCAAGGAGUGGCUGUUGUUGAUGAACUUGAUGGAGUGAAAUAACCACCGAAACAGGUGCCCUUAUCAUCUUUAUGUUGAUUGGUCGGCCCCCCCCUACCCCCACCCCGCAGACAAAGACAGGGAUGUCUUUGAAAUGAGACUUCACAGCGGCCUCUUCACCUGUGUGGUCUCCUGAGGGAGAGCAUGGCUAAUUCUGACCCCACAGACGGGAAGCGUGGCUGAGAGUCGACUUCCCGCGACGGGGGAGCAUGUGGACACAGCCUUCCCACGUCAGCCAGAAAGCCAGAGCGAGGCAGACGGACCACAGGACGCGGCACUUGAAGAGGCUUUGUCCCUGAGAGCGACGGCUCUGGGUCGGGCAGCGCUGGUGGUGUGUUCUCGCCUGAGGUUGCUCCCCUGCCUUCUCCGCAGCUCUGUCCGUGUGAUAGUGGAACCAGAGCGGGCGGCUGCGAAAACCAGCAGCCUGGUUGGUGCUUCCAGACUAUUCCAUGCGCAGUAUUUUCAGUUAAAUGGCUGUGUCAGUGUAAAUGAGCAAGAAGAGCCAGUGGCCCCACUGUCCUGAGCUCACAGCCCUCUGUGGUACAAGCGGUGGACAGUGGUCUAUGGGAACAUGGGGAGCUCUGGGGGGUGAGAGGGCCAUCAGGGGCUGGACAGCUCUGCAUGUGCCCAGGCUGUCUGUGCACCAGACGCAGAGGUGUCGUGCGCCGGAGCCCCCACACUCUGCCCACAGAGCCCGAGCGCACUCACGGGAUGGGAGCGAGCCAGCAGCAAGGGAAGGCCGGGCGGCAUGAGCCCCCUGAGAUUCGAUGUGCUCCCUGUCCACUCACAGCCAGAAGCAGAAGUCUUUCCGGCUCCGGAUCAGACGUGCUGACAUUGAAGUCCCGCAUAGUUGUACACAGCAACCCAGCACUUCCCCGUGAUGUCGCUGGGACUGCGGGCGCCAGUGUGUAGCGUGACUCGGAAGGACGCUCCGUUGGCCCCAGAGGAGAAUUUGGAUUCUGUGAAAAACUCGUAGAUUCACAGGCAGAGGCCGUUCAGAAGGGCCUGGGACACCGUCCUCGUCCCAGAAGCUCCCUGCUCUGCCAUUUCCGAGGAGGUGUCAGUCCGCGUCGUCACGUCCAAGCCUGGAGAGGAGGCAUCCCUGCUUCUCUCUGUUCCUCGUCUUUCGCUGCCUCUUCCCUGGGUCUCAUGCUCAGCAAGGAGAAAAGUGCCUUCGAGGUCACUGUGUCGGCAUCACUGUUCUUCCUGGGGAUUUUGAGGGGCCUUCAAGGAAGCUAGAAAUAACAAUAUUUAGCAGCCUUUUUCAAUUCCUUCGUUUUGGUAAAGUGAGCUCUGUGAAAUCUAACGCAGCUGCAUAAAAUCUCGGGGUCCCUUCCCACUUGUGCUGAAAAGCAUUGCAGGAAAAAAGUGGCUGCGUUUAAGAGAAAAGUGAUGACGUGUAGACGCACAAGGAAGACG